AAAGCCAAAAGAAGAAUGCCACAACUCCCUUGAAACAGUGGAAAGUUGGUGACAAGUGUUCUGCUGUUUGGUCAGAAGACGGCUGCAUUUACCCAGCUACUAUUACGUCCAUUGACUUUGAAAGUCAAGUUUCCACAGACGACAGUGAACACUCCUCCAGAUCGCAAAGAACGGUGACAUUUGUGAAACUCCAG
rnacentral:sRNA from 1 species